CCCGUCACAUCACGAAAAGUGGGUUGUACUAGAAGUCUGCGCGCUGACCCGCAAGGGAGGCAGCGGCCCAAGGUAUGACUCAUGAUUGGGGUG
rnacentral:rRNA from 1 species